UUCCGAUGCUUGCUGCGCCAAUUCUCGGCAUUCUUGAUGUCGCGUUUCUACGUGGAGGAGCGAAUUCUAUAAGCGAUCUGGAGCUCAGUAGUCUGUUCGGAGAUCAGCUCGUCUACGGCAAGUUGGUUAGUAACGCUCUGGGUAUGUGAGAGUUUGGGUGCAGUCCGCAUCAGGGUGUGGGAGUUUGGUUUUUGUUGUUGGGAUGUGUGCGUUGGAGAAGAGAGAUGGCGACAUGGAUUCGAGCUGUACAGGUGCUGGGGAGGAGGGUGGGAACGAGGCCCAUGGUGAUGGAGGGGGAACGAGUGACUGUUAGGAGGUUGAUUUCACAGUCGGCCAGAAAGGAUGGGGCAUUGGAUGUGGGUGCGGUUGGGGUGAUGCAGCAAGGGUGGUCUUUCUCCAACCGGAGUACGUUUGAUUCUUUGAUGAUGUCGCCAGGGCCGCAAAGAGGCGUGCAGCGGCGGGGUGUGUUCAUUCGAGUGGAAACUACCCCAAAUCCGCAGUCGCUUAUGUUUUAUCCUGGGAGAGUUGUGAUGGAAGUUGGUAGUUCUGACUUUCGUAAUGCCCGUGCGGCUAUGGCGUCCCCUUUGGCGAAAGCUCUCUUUGAUGUAGAUGGUGUCGUGAGGGUCUUCUUUGGCGCCGAUUUUGUGACAGUGGCGAAAGCCCAGGACGUGUCUUGGGAUAUUCUGAAGCCUGAGAUUUUUGCCGCCAUUAUGGAUUUCUACGCGACUAAGCAGCCUCUGUUUUAUGGGUCUCACUUGGGAGCUUCUGACACUGCUACCGAUGAGGAUGAUGAUGACACCGUAGCAAUGAUGAAGGAGUUGCUUGAGACCCGUAUCCGCCCCGCUGUGCAAGUUGAUGGAGGCGAUAUUGAGUACUGGGGGUUUGAUCCAGAGUCAGGGAUAGUGUCGCUGAAGAUGCAAGGGGCGUGCAGUGGCUGUCCAAGCUCAGCUGUCAACUUGAAGUCGAAUUGAGAACAUGUUGCUGCAUUAUGUGUCAGAGGUGAAAGGUGUUCAAGAAGUCCAUGACGAGGACUCAGACGAAGAAGCAAAUGUGGUCGGCUGAAUUGGAUCUUUUCCACUUGCAUGCCUUGGAGACGAUUACUGUGAACGGUUCCCAGAUAUCUCUCGUGCUCCUAACAACUUCCUUUUUGAAAGAUUAGUGAACGAUCUGACUUGUCCUUUUUAUCUGUUCCAAGUGGCAAACUUGAAAGUUUGUAGCGUGUACAGUUAUGGCAGUACUGCUGUGAUCAAACUGCUGAACUCCGGCAGGUUUUAAUUUCUCAGGGUAGGAUCCAACUUUGUGAAUAUGCAAGAGCGUCUUUCAGAGUAAAUCAGCUUUUGUUGGUCUUACUCUAAAACUAGAUUUGCCGAAAAAUCUGAAUCGAUCAGAUGUACUGUAUAUUGAGAAAAUGCAGCAGUAGUGCUGCACUAGAUCACUAUUUCCUACGUAGCUAUGGGGUGAAAUACAACAAACGAAAUAAUGUUCAAGGAUUUGGGCUUUAUCGGCUUGGUGGUAAGCAGGAACCCGUUGCAGAUUUGGCAGUAGAAAAAUAGAUUGGAGGCUAGUUUGUAUGGAAAGAGGGGUUUAAAUCACUACCCUUUCGAACCUUCUGUAAAUGAGUGAUUUAACCUAAAUAUUUUACGCUGAUGGCAUGCUCUCAGUGUUCUUAAUCAA